rnacentral:lncRNA from 1 species
GGAUCACGAUCAGUAGAAUGGUAGAAUGCUGACGUCACAAAAAUAAUUCUACAAUCGACAAUUUUGGUAUCACGUUAACACGCUUGGGAAAGUAGAAUCGGUGCUCGGCAAUGUUCGGAUAUUCUACUAGCCAUGUUAAAAAUAUCGCUUCUUCUUCUUAAAAAUAUUGCUGUUUGACGUGUGGUUGUCUUUAUUUUGUGGUGGUUGUAUUCAAAAAGCUAACCUAAAGAAAGAUUAUAAUUUGUGAUUAUUUUCAAUUUGUAUAUUUUUGUCUUGGGUUGUUUGGAACUAUUUUAUUAGAAAUCACUAAAUUUUUAAAUUUUACCUGUGACUAGAGAACAUUGUUAUAUUAAGGUAUUUUUAUUCUUGGUAUGAAACAAUGUUAAGACAAUACUGUGUGCUUUUUCAGUCCUAUGAAAGAAAAUGUUUUGGAUGUAAUAGAGAAGUACUACAACUUUGUUAUGAAGAUUUGUCUUUAUGUUAUUUUUAUAAUGUUCAUGGAUUAUAUUUGUUUUUAUGUUUUCUUCAGUUUAAAUAAAGUUUAUGUUUUACCCA